AGUGAACGCUGGCGGUAGGCCUAACACAUGCGAGUCGAACGGCAGCACAGGAGAGCUUGCUCUCUGGGUGGCGAGUGGCGGACGGGUGAGGAAUACAUCGGAAUCUACUCUGUCGUGGGGGAUAACGUAGGGAAACUUACGCUAAUACCGCAUACGACCUACGGGUGAAAGCAGGGGACCUUCGGGCCUUGCGCGAUUGAAUGAGCCGAUGUCGGAUUAGCUAGUUGGCGGGGUAAAGGCCCACCAAGGCGACGAUCCGUAGCUGGUCAGAGAGGAUGAUCAGCCACACUGGAACUGAGACACGGUCCAGACUCCUACGGGAGGCAGCAGUGGGGAAUAUUGGACAAUGGGCGCAAGCCUGAUCCAGCCAUACCGCGUGGGUGAAGAAGGCCUUCGGGUUGUAAAGCCCUUUUGUUGGGAAAGAAAUCCAGCUGGCUAAUACCCGGUUGGGAUGACGGUACCCAAAGAAUAAGCACCGGCUAACUUCGUGCCAGCCGCCGCAGUAA
rnacentral:rRNA from 1 species